ensembl:lncRNA novel transcript
CCUUUCGGAGCUCCAGCCUGCCCCUCCUGACGCUCUCAGAGUCUGGCCUUCUGCUGGGCCCCGGGUCUCUCACUGGCAGAAUGGAGUUCUCGGAGCUGAUCCAUACGGGCUGAGCCCAAGCAGAGUUUCUACGGGGCCCGGAGGCGCCCCCGCUUCGCGGCACGGUGUGAGUCACCGUCCACCACCUGCUCCUGUCGCCAGGGCCCGCGUCCUCUCCGGACCUGUGGCUGCUGCUGUUGCGUAGCGUCGACUCCUUCGAGAAGCAGAACGUCCCUCCCCAGGGUUGCGAGUGACUCGGGCACCAUCACCCUGUGCUGUAAAGACCUGCGAGUGCUGCAGCUGGAAAUAGAGGGCGCGGAAGCGACGCUGGGCAUCGCCCGCUCCAUCGAGGGCCUGAGAUUGGGCGACUCCUGGCACUUCCUCCCGCCCGAACUCUACUGCAAGAGAGUAGCUCGCGAAGUGGGCGCGGUCGUAGGGGCCCGGGAAGGUGGAAGCGCCGGGCCUGGAAGAGGCGCGGGGACAGGGCACUCCCUGGGUGCCCUAGACCUGGCCUCUCUCCUCCCUGCGCUGCAGACCAACGCGUGGCGGCUGAGCGAGGGUCCCAAACCACUUUGGCCACAACACCCCCAGACUGGUCCGAAGCCUCGUGAGUUCGCCCUGGUCGUUGCACUCCAGCCUGUCGCUGUGCAGACCUGGCUUAGAGGACCCCUAAGGCUGAGGGGUCACUUCCAGAACUGAGUCCGGUCCGCAGGUUCUGCUACGCUCCAGCCAGCCCCUAACUGGUCCCCAGAAGCGGCGCUGCUACAGGGACCAGGAGCUGCUGCGAACUGCGCUGGCGGGGGCUCGUCCUUGGGCGCGGGGCUUCAUCAUGGACACGCUCUCGGCCCAGGCCGCGAAACAAGCCCGCGUGACUGGCGGAGGCACAGAGACCAAGGCCGCUUAACCUGGCUGGUUGCACUGGUCCCUGGAGAGCACUGAGCACAGGGGCUGCCACAGUGGCCGGCUCAGACAUGGCAGAGAUCAGCAGAGAAUGGGCAAUCAGGCUCCCCUGAGAUGAGCAGCAGCGCAGAGGAGGUGCCCCUCUCUUACUACACCAACUUCAGAGGGCGUCCCCUGCAGGAGAGCUUCAUGCGCCUGGUGGAGGCCUGUGGGGACUCGGAGCAAAGCAUGGACAACUGGCUGAGUCGGCUGGACGGCUGCCGCUGACUGUAACAUGUAAAGCAGGCACUGAGCACCACCUGCCUGGCAGUCCAGGGCAUGGAGAGGCACAGACAGCACCCUGCUUGUGACUUCACUGGCCCAACUCAUCCUGGACCCCUUGAGCAAGACCAUGGCUGGAUUCCAGGAACUGGUGGAGUGGAAGUGGAUCCAGGAAAAUGCCGUGUGAAGGGAGGACUCAGAUGCACUCCCUGUGGUCUGGGCUCAACCAGCCAAAAGAGCAACAAAGACUCCAGAACCCACUCUACCUCCUCAAUCCCUUGGCCAUCUGUGGAGCCCCAGAGCCUGCGGCUGUGGCAAGGCCUGUUUCUGCGCUGGACCUGCUCACCUGAGCCUGCAGAAGCUGCAUGGGGGAAGAGUGUGGCAAAUAGUGACAGGAAGGGAGAAGACAGAAGCCUCUCAGCCAACUGCUUCAGCCGAGCCCCUAUUCUAAGCACUGGCUCCUUGGAUAGCAGCUGAGAUGUUCCUGAAACCUCUGCAGGCCCCUUAGGACCUUUACACCUUGGAUGAGGGUGCCUGCAACCCAGGUUAGCCAAAAGUACUGAGGGUCUUAAGUUUGAAGUGUCCAAAGUAUAGGGAGGUCUCAAUAAUAAAAGUCUCCAUGAUCAGCA